rnacentral:rRNA from 1 species
GACGAACGCUGGCGGCGUGCUUAACACAUGCAAGUCGAGCGGAAAGGCCCUUCGGGGUACUCGAGCGGCGAACGGGUGAGUAACACGUGAGUAACCUGCCCCAGACUUUGGGAUAACCCUCGGAAACGGGGGCUAAUACCGGAUACGACACAGCUUCGCAUGGGGUCUGUGUGGAAAGUUUUUCGGUUUGGGAUGGGCUCGCGGCCUAUCAGCUUGUUGGUGGGGUGAUGGCCUACCAAGGCGACGACGGGUAGCAGGCCUGAGAGGGCGACCGGCCACACUGGGACUGAGACACGGCCCAGACUCCUACGGGAGGCAGCAGUGGGGAAUAUUGCACAAUGGGCGGAAGCCUGAUGCAGCGACGCCGCGUGAGGUAUGACGGCCUUCGGGUUGUAAACCUCUUUCAGCAGGGACGAAGCGUAAGUGACGGUACCUGCAGAAGAAGCGCCGGCCAACUACGUG